rnacentral:lncRNA from 1 species
AUUAAAAUUCUAAUGGACUUCAAUCAAAUCCUAAGCCAAAUCUUAAACUCUAAGCAAAACUUAAAUUCUAAGUAAAUCCUAAAUAAAUCAUAAAUUCUAAAUCAAAUCCUAAAUCAAACACUAGAAAAAUCCUAAAUCUUAAAUCAAAUCCUAAAUAAAUCUUAAAUCCUAAAUCAAAUCCAAGAUAAUUCUUAAAUCCUAAAAUAAAUCUUAAAUAAAUUCUAAAUCUUAAAUAAAAUCCUAAAAAUAUCCUAAAUCCUAAACCAAAUCCUGGACAAAUCCUAAACCUUAAAUCA